rnacentral:rRNA from 1 species
GAUAAACUCCAACCCAUGUGACAUUACCUCUAUGUUGCUUCGGCGGAGCCGCCCCGGCGCCCGGAACCCCCUGCGGUCCCGCGGCCCGGAACCAAGGCGCCCGCCGGAGGCCACAAACUCUUCUGUUUUUACAGUUUCUUCUGAGUGUGCCGCAAGGCAGUAUACAAAUGAAUCAAAACUUUCAACAACGGAUCUCUUGGUUCUGGCAUCGAUGAAGAACGCAGCGAAAUGCGAUAAGUAAUGUGAAUUGCAGAAUUCAGUGAAUCAUCGAAUCUUUGAACGCACAUUGCGCCCGCCAGAAUUCUGGCGGGCAUGCCUGUUCGAGCGUCAUUUCAACCCUCGAGCUCCCCUUUCGGGGGGAGCCCGGCGUUGGGGACCCGGCGCUAACAACGCCGGCCCCGAAAUGGAGUGGCGGCCCGUCCGCGGCGACCUCUGCGUAGUAACAACCACUCGCACCGGGACCCGGGCGCGGCCACGCCGUAAAACACCCCACCUUCCGAAUGUUGACCUCGAAUCAGGUAGGAAUACCCGCUGAACUUAAGCAUAUCAAUAAGCGGAGGGAAAAGAAAAUAACC